GUGCACGCUGGCGGUAGGCCUAACACAUGCAAGUCGAACGGCAGCACAGUAAGAGCUUGCCCUUACGGGUGGCGAGUGGCGGACGGGUGAGGAAUACAUCGGAAUCUACUUUUUCGUGGGGGAUAACGUAGGGAAACUUACGCUAAUACCGCAUACGACCUACGGGUGAAAGCAGGGGAUCUUCGGACCUUGCGCGAUUGAAUGAGCCGAUGUCGGAUUAGCUAGUUGGCGGGGUAAAGGCCCACCAAGGCGACGAUCCGUAGCUGGUCUGAGAGGAUGAUCAGCCACACUGGAACUGAGACACGGUCCAGACUCCUACGGGAGGCAGCAGUGGGGAAUAUUGGACAAUGGGCGCAAGCCUGAUCCAGCCAUACCGCGUGGGUGAAGAAGGCCUUCGGGUUGUAAAGCCCUUUUGUUGGGAAAGAAAAGCAGCAGGUUAAUACCCCGCUGUUCUGACGGUACCCAAAGAAUAAGCACCGGCUAACUUCGUG
rnacentral:rRNA from 1 species